rnacentral:rRNA from 1 species
AUCGAUGAAGAACGCAGCGAAAUGCGAUAACUAAUGUGAAUUGCAGAAUUCAGUGAAUCAUCGAGUCUUUGAACGCACCUUGCGCCCUCUGGUAUUCCGGAGGGCAUGCCUGUUUGAGUGUCAGUAAAUUCUCAACCUCUCAUGCUUUGUUGGCAUUGAGUGGAUUGGAUAUGGAGGCUUGCUGGAUUUUAUUCAGCUCCUCUAAAAUAUAUUAGCAGAAACCAUUGCUAAGGUUUACUGCAGCCGUGUGAUAAUUAUCUUACGGUUGAAGUAAAUGUUUAGUUUGUCUCACAUUUGGUUUGAAGAGAUGCUUUUCGUAAGCUCCCUUUGCUUUUCUCUCUUCGGAGUGAUACUUAUCCAAGUGUAGAUUUUAAUGGGUCUUAUUCAGCUUCUAAUCAUCUGGAAACAGAUAAUACUUGACCAUUUGGCCUCAAAUCAGGUA